rnacentral:rRNA from 1 species
CCUACGGGAGGCAGCAGUGAGGAAUAUUGGACAAUGGGCGCAAGCCUGAUCCAGCCAUGCCGCGUGCAGGAAGACGGUCCUAUGGAUUGUAAACUGCUUUUGUACAGGAAGAAACACUCCCUCGUGAGGGAGCUUGACGGUACUGUAAGAAUAAGGAUCGGCUAACUCCGUGCCAGCAGCCGCGGUAAUACGGAGGAUCCAAGCGUUAUCCGGAAUCAUUGGGUUUAAAGGGUCCGUAGGCGGUUUAAUAAGUCAGUGGUGAAAUCUGGUCGCUCAACGAUCAAACGGCCAUUGAUACUGUUAGACUUGAAUUAUUAGGAAGUAACUAGAAUAUGUAGUGUAGCGGUGAAAUGCUUAGAUAUUACAUGGAAUACCAAUUGCGAAGGCAGGUUACUACUAAUGGAUUGACGCUGAUGGACGAAAGCGUGGGGAGCGAACAGGAUUAGAUACCCUGGUAGUCCACGCCGUAAACGAUGGAUACUAGCUGUUGGGUCGCAAGUUCAGUGGCUAAGCGAAAGUGAUAAGUAUCCCACCUGGGGAGUACGUUCGCAAGAAUGAAACUUAAAGUAGUAGUUGACGUGUAGAGAGUCGACGACGGCGACACGGAGGGAGG